rnacentral:rRNA from 1 species
CCCCUAGAUGUUCUGGGCCGCACGCGCGCUACACUGAACAGUUCAACAAGUCUUAACCUUGGCCGAUAGGUCUGGGUAAUCUUUGAACGCUGUUCGUGAUUGGGAUAGACCUUUGCAAUUAUGGGUCUUCAACGCGGAAUUCCUAGUAAACGCAAGUCAUCAGCUUGCAUUGAUUACGUCCCUGCCCUUUGUACACACCGCCCGUCGCACCUACCGAUUGAAUGGUCCGGUGAAAUCUCGGGACGGCGGCUUGGUCGCUUGCGUCCGACUGCUGAAACUUGAUUAAACCAUAUCAUUUAGAGGAAGGUGAANUCGUANCA